rnacentral:lncRNA from 1 species
UACUAUUGUUUGUCAUUAUUGUGCAGAGGCAAUAAUGGCGAUGGAGAUCACUCAGUUUCUACUUGCUGCCCAGUCAGCCAAACUUGCAUAGUUUUUAUUGUCUAUGUUUUUGGGCUAGCCAACAAUGAUAAUCUUUCUAAUCCUGUCGUAUCUUUUAAAAAUGAUAAGGUUUUUGGGAAGCUAGCGUAUCUUUUAAAAAUGCUUGUGCUUCAAUUCAUAGUAUUUCCGAAUUAACUUUGUAAUAUUG